CCUAAGGGGUGGAACUGGCAGACUAGAGAGCAGUAGGGGUAGCAGGAAUUCCCAGUGUAGCGGUGAAAUGCGUAGAAGAUUGGGAAAGAACAUCGGUGGCGAAAGCGUGCUACUGGGCUGUAUCUGACACUCAGGGACGAAAGCUAGGGGAAGCGAAAGGGAUUAGAUACCCCUGUAGUCCUAGCCGUAAACGAUGGAUACUAGGCGUGGCUUGUAUCGACCCGAGCCGUGCG
rnacentral:rRNA from 1 species